rnacentral:lncRNA from 1 species
UCACUUCGCGGAGGGCCUCCUUAAAGCUCCUUUUUCAAAAGAAGAGGUUGAAGGGAGGUCCUUCUUUGGGCGGCUGUCAAAUGCCUUCCACAGAAGGAUUCGUUGGAUUCCAAGAAGGUCAACGCCAUACUAGACUACACAACGCAACAUUUCAGCGUACUUCCAGGGCAGCUGGAGAACUCGUCCUCAUUACUAGCCCGGGGAUAUUAAAUGGAUGUGUUCAAGCACAAA